UCAGCUGCAGAAAGAGCUUGCUUUCAGUGCAGGUUUUUUUUUUGUAAGCAGAAGUACUUGGAGAAGAUGACUCCCCUUUUCAUCUGUCUCUUCCUUUGAGGUCAAGUCCUGACAUCACUGCCUAUUUCUCAGCUGAAUGAGAAGUCUCCAGUUCUGCCUUUGAUACCCUGACCAGAUUGCUGUUUGGUUCUGGGGUAAGUCCCCACUUGCUUUUCUGGAGAAAGUAUAAAAUUCCUAAAAGCUACGGGAGCCAUGAGUGAAGGGAAUAUCACUCUGUUCUCUCCACCUCUUCCACACCUAUAAAGGAAGCUAUUCCACGUACGCUGAGGAAGAAAACAGCUUUUUCUUCUGGCGUCUCAAAGCACAAAGCUCAGCAGCUCACCUUGCCUCAUCUGACACAUUAAUCAGGAGAACAACACCUGGGCACUACAGACCUGCUCAUCUCUGGAUGUGGAGACACCAAAAAGAAGAAGCUUGAAGGAAUCACAGCUGACUGGGGAGAAAUAUCUGGUCCCCACCUUCUUCAGUUCUGAUCCUGUCUGAAAAAAAAAAAAAGAUUAGGUCAAGCUGAGAAUGUGGCUCUAUGUUGUCUGCAAAGGAUUUCUGAACAAGUGCCUUUUGGCCAGCUGGUGCUCUUGGCAUUUUGGUGCAGACUGGUGGGAAGAAAGGAGAAGGAAUCGGAUUCAGAACUCCGGAGAAUGAAGCCACCUCAUUUUUCAUCCCCUUUGAUUAACUCGCCGGUUUAUUUGCCUGUAACAAUGACAAAUGACGCCACCAGCUGAUGCUAUCACAUUUGGCAGAGUCAGCCUGGUUUUGAACUCAGGAAUUAAAGCUCUACAUGGGACAGAUUUAUAGAAACAUUUCAUGAACUGUUGGGGAAAAAAAAAAAGUCUUUGUCAGAUACAAGCUAAGUAGGAAUCUGAAAGGUUCUUAAGAUCAAUGACAAAUAGUUCUUUUGUGUCCUAUCUAUUUAUUCAGAGCUACUAAUAUCCACUAAUGCUACUCACUAUCACGAUCGUAGGACAUCUGUAUUUUAUUCUCAUUGUCUUCUUAUCUGUUUUACUGUCAGUCUAAUCCUGUUCUUAUUUCCACCAGAGUAAAUUGGGAGCACUUCCACAGAAAUUAACUGCACCGGCUUUACACUGGCACAGACUCCAGAGAGGCUUAAAAUGCCUCUAAGGCAGCUUAAAGGCAGCUGUGGGCAGGCAGUUGCUUGUUGGAGGAGAAAUCUCACCUUUCACUUAAAAUCUGCUUCUCGCCUUCAUGGCUGCGAAUGUGGAAGGCUCAAACCAAGAAGGCAAAUUAAAACUCCAAAUAUACUUUUCCCCUCUUGUUAUUAUUACCUGGGAGGUGGCUGGGAGGGUGCCUUGUGGUUUUCGAGUUUUCAGGUCAGAUGUUACUGAACGGCAGGACUUUGCAAGGAGGUGACCCAAGGCCACUUCUUACAUCCAUUAAUGCCAACAACAGCCUUGUGCGCAGAGCUGCUCUGCCCUUGGGAUGGACCUGAACCUAUUCCCUUCAUGAAUCACACAUCUGAUGUAUUUUACAGCCAACAGAGAGACAGACACCUCCAACUCCUUUGAACUACUUGAAACACCACAUCAGGAGGCACGAGUCCCAUCCUAAAGUCCAGCUUCAUCACUGCCAUGGCUAUAACUAGUGUAGUCAAACUUCCUGAUCCUGCCAGCUCCAUACCCAAAUCCUCAUGCCCCUGCAAGCCACAGCACAUAACCCAUGGAAAAUGGGAGAGGAGACACUCCAGGAGAGGGUCCUGGCGUGGCUCACAGGAGGCAAAGGGUUCCUCUGGGACACUGCAAGGUGGGAGCAAGAAGACCAUUUCCUUGCCUGCCCAAGCACGGAAGAAUGGGAUUGUCAUGUUUGGCUACACUUUGCUGGGAAAUGAAAACAGGGAUAUUUGUUUUCCUGCCAGAGCGUGUGAUGCUGCAUGUGCUGGAGGAGGACACUGGUCCCAAUACACUUGGUCCUCCAGAGGAGAUGCAGUUAGACCUACAGGGCCCGUCGCUGUCCUUGUCAUAAAGUCUAAACUCACGGAUUAUGUUCAAAGCCAGCAAGCAUCCAUCCCUGCUGGCAGGCACCUGUGAGGGAGAAACCACUUUGGAGAGGCUAAUGACCAUUUAAUGUGCAAACUAAAACCUUGCGAC